CGCGCGUCUGUGUCGCUUACCCUCCUCCCAGCCCCUCUGUCAUUUCAAACACGUAACCGCGAACAGAGUCGAGCGAGAGAGAUAGCCAUGGCGAUUUGGAGCUCCGCCUCGACGCUCGAUCCAGUGUUUUGGUGGUGACUCGUCCGUGCUCUACCUCGUGCUGCCCCGCUUCCUCUGCCUCCGUUCUGUUCCUGCCGGCGAGAUCUGCGGCAUCUCUCGGCCCCGCACCGACCCGUCCCCAUUUCCGCCGCUGUUGAUUUUGUUCGUCGGAUUCGCCAUGGCGAUUUGGAGCUCCCCUCGCCCCUCCUUCACGUUCUUGGUUGUAAUUAUCCCCUAUCCCCUAUAUCAUCCCCUGCAUUUUUUUCUUCUGAUUUCUAGAUCCGGCGGAUUAGUAUUCUUGUCUAUUGGUCAUUUCUGGGCUUUUUUGUUGCGGAUGUAGCGUUUGAUGUAGAUGUAGCGGUGGAUCUCUCUAUCUUUUUAAUAUCUGCUUAUCCUGUCAUUUGAUUUUGAUGCCCCCUGUACUGGGUGUUGUUUCAUCCCUAUGGGCGUCUGAUAGGUGUAUGAUUCCACUGGUUGUUUCAAUUCAGCUAGCCUAUUUCAUGUGGAUGUAGGAUGCAGAUGCUUAAUCCCCUGGUUGUUGAGUCUCAUGGUCUGUAGUUGGGGUUUCUCGAUUAUGUGUCCAUUUUUUUGUGUGAUUUGACUAAUCUCCUCCCUCUGAUCACAAUUACUUAGCCUUAUUAGUUUACCAAAUCUCCUUCUCCACCUAUCUGUUCAUGAUUUUGUCUACACUCGUAGUUGCUGCAUUGAGUUGUUCAUUGUUAGUUGGUCGCAGUGUAACUUGCAGUCAUAUUUUUCAGUGUAACUUUCAGUGAUUAGCACUAAAAUUUCCAGUAUUUUUGGUGCAACUUACAGUGAUUUGCACUGAAAUUUCCAGUGUAAGUUUCAGUGGAAUUUUCAAUUUAAUUACAUUGUAGUCCAGUGUAAUUGUGUAGUGGUGUACAACCCUGUAACUUACAGUGUACAUUACACUAGUUUCAAUGUAUUUUCGUUGUAAUUUUGAAGUAAUGUGUAACUUACAGUGAUUUACUCUGAGUUUUCCAGUAUUUUGGUGCAACUUAUAGUGAUAUUUUCAGUGUAACUUGGAGUUUCCAGUAUUUUUUAGUGUUACUUACAGUGAUUUGCACUGAAAUUUCCAGUAUAAUUUUCUGUGCAAUUUCAGUUUAAUUAUGUUAUAGUCCAGCGUAAUUGCAUAGUGCUUUACAACCAUGUAGCUUAGCAUACUUUUGUACUGGAAUUUCCAGUGUAAAUUUCAGUGUUUUCACAAUGUAAUUGUCUAAUUUACUAGCAAUGUCCUGUGACUUACAUUACUCUGCACUGAAAAUCCCAGUGUAAAUUUGAUUGUAAAUUGAUUGUAUUUACUGUGUAAUUACACUGUAUUAUCAGUGCACUUAUACUGUUAAUCACAGUGUAAUUUCAGUAAAUUACAAUGUUAUCCUAGUGAUUACAUUUACACGUGGUGCUUCCUGUGUAGCCGUGGCAUAUUUUAGGUGGUCUUUUUGUGUGUCUUAGUUGCAGUCCUGAUUGAUUUCUAUGAUUUUUAGUUAGUUAUUAUGUAAGUGGUUCUCUCUGUAAUAUAUUCUUUUUGUGAAUGAUAGAAAUGAUUUAGUUUACUGUGUCUGUUAGUCUCUGGAGGGUGUUCAUUCAGCUGUUGUUAUUAGUUUACUAUCAUAAUCAUUUGACCAUCGUUAGUGAAGCAAAUGGGCAGAUUGAUGAAGGGUUGUGAGCAGGGAACCCAUGACCUUUCUCCUGAUGACAGUGUAGAUUCUUCAGAGAAACCUUUUAUCCCCGACGACUAUGCUGAUGAUGAUUGUUUCAAAGUGUCACAGGUUUAAAUUUUUCUUUUCAAUAGACUGUCCUGCUUGUUUUGAUUUUCCUGCACCCUAGUUUUAACUAAGUUUCAUUUUGCUUUUUCCAAGUUUUGUCUACGGAUGAUGGCAUUUUAGACUAGGCAUUGUUUGAUUUCUAUGUGAAUCAUGUAAGUAAUUAGUUAUUGUUCUCUUCAGUUCUCACUCAUGUUUUGUUUCAUUUCGUGUUGGUAGCUCCUAGUAUUUUUUUACAGUGCCUCUGAUCUGAACUUACAUUGCCCCUGUAAGUUUUGAUUUUACAUUGUUUCAUUUUUUACAGUGUGCUUCAGUAAGAUUUACUAUUUUGUAUGAUCAAAGUAAAUGUGUUUUCAUUUACUGUAAGUUUUGGUAGCUCAUAGCAAUCUUUUUACAGUGCUUCUGAUCUGAUUUUACAAUGUGCUUCAGCAAGAUUUACAGUUCUAUGAUCAAAGUAAACAAUGGUGUCAUUUAUUGUAAGUUCUGGUAGCUCCUAGUAUUUUGUUUACAGCGCCUAUGAUCUGAUUUUAUAGUGUGUUCUGGCUAUGGUUAGAGUAUUUUUUUAGUUUGAUUUUUUACGGUGCUAUUGAUGAAUUUCUUACAGUGUGCUUUUUUUAACUUCUACUAUUAUUUUAUCACAUUAAUUGGUUUUUUCAUUUUCUAUGAAGUCUGAGAUUUUGAUAGUGUGCUUUUCACCAUCUUGCAGUGCACUAUUCUCAUCUAGUUCCAUGUUUCUUCUUUUUGUUGUCUUCAGACCAUGAAACUCGUUGGAGUUGUUCAGUCUCACAAACAAUGCUGACAAACCCAAGAUUUUUCAAGGAUGCUGACAAGCCUUGUUAUCAAAGUGUUGGAUUGCUUAGUUGGGUCCUCUUUCAAAGUUAGUGACGGUUUUUCCCCAAGAUUGAAUGCUGAAGUUGAUUUCCAAAAUAUAUCAUCUACUCCAACUUUGAAAUUUUCCAACAGUGAGCAGUACUAUUCAAGGAAGAAAUCUGCAGAUUAGCAGAGAGUAUCAUGUUAUCAUUUUUUUUUCUUAUGUAUCUUUAUUUGUUCAAGCUUUAAGUAAUGUUUUUGUUUUGUAAAAUUUAACCUUCUGUAAAUGAUCAAAAUGAAGUCCAGAAUGUUUGAAAGGCCGACACCAAUUUAUGCAUUAUUUGGUUCA